CAGUUUUGGCAUUUGUUCUGCUUGCAAUCCUUGGGCUUGCCGUCGCCGAAACAUGCUCAGAUGAGUAUGAUCCUGUGUGCGGAUCCAAUGGUAGGACUUAUGACAACGCUUGCAAAUUGAGCAAUGUGCUCGGCGUUAGUUUAAGCUAUGAAGGAGUGUGCGAGGAAGAUUAAUAAUAAAGUCAAAAAUAAAUAAUUAUUUUAUGAUGACAUUUU